UAUUGCACAAUGGGCGCAAGCCUGAUGCAGCCAUGCCGCGUGUGUGAAGAAGGCCUUCGGGUUGUAAAGCACUUUCAGCGGGGAGGAAGGCGAUAAGGUUAAUAACCUUGUCGAUUGACGUUACCCGCAGAAGAAGCACCGGCUAACUCCGUGCCAGCAGCCGCGGUAAUACGGAGGGUGCAAGCGUUAAUCGGAAUUACUGGGCGUAAAGCGCACGCAGGCGGUCUGUCAAGUCGGAUGUGAAAUCCCCGGGCU
rnacentral:rRNA from 1 species